ACGUAGGUGGCGAACGUUGUCCGGAUUCACUGGGCGUAAAGCGCGCGCAGGCGGACUGAUAAGUCAGAGGUGAAAUCUCCCGGCUCAACUGGGAGGGGCCCUUUGAUACUGUCAGUCUUGAGGCACCUAGAGGAGAGUGGAAUUCCCGGUGUAGUGGUGGAAUGCGUAGAUAUCGGGAGGAACACCAGUGGCGAAAGCGACUCUCUGGGGGUGACCUGACGCUGAGGCGCGAAAGCGUGGGGAGCAAACGGGAUUAGAUACCCCGGUAGUCCACGCCGUAAACGAUGAGUACUAGCUGUCUGGGGUAUCGACUCCCUGGGUAGCGAAGCUAACGCGAUAAGUACUCCGCCUGGGGACUACGACCGCAAGGUUA
rnacentral:rRNA from 1 species